CCGACCUUAGCUCAGUUGGUAGAGCGGAGGACUGUAGUUGGGGUAUUCUGAGCUGAAAUCCUUAGGUCGCUGGUUCGACUCCGGCAGGUCGGA
rnacentral:tRNA from 1 species